rnacentral:lncRNA from 1 species
CCGAACCAUCUAAAUGAUACAUUCAUGGCUCAAAAAAUAUUUAUCUAUACACUUAAUUUUUACUGAAAAAAUACUCAUUACAAAGAUCUAUAUAUUCUAGAACAAUACAGAUGACAAGUUUGGCACAAGAACCACAAUGCCGAACACCUAAUUUUCAGCUAGAUCGAUAGAAGACUUGAGGUUAAAUACCAUCUACUAGAGCUAACUCCGCGCAAAACCAAUCUUGUGAAAUUAUUUGGGAAACAAAUAGUCCAUGCUCUAAUGAUGAAUCCAUUAGUUUUGUAUGGAGGGAUGCCCCAUUGUUUUGCCAGGUUGUUGACACCCAUUGCCACUUGGACAGAAAACCUACAGAUUUGGUAGAGGUAGCGACAUCUGCCAGAAAAGAGGACAUUAAAAGCAAACAAACAGAGAAACAAAGUUCUCAAGGAACAACUUAAUAUUAUUUUUGUCAAGAUAAAUGAGCUGGGAAAUCCAUCAAUACAUGGUUAGUUAAUUAUUCCUUCAUGAAGCAGGACAUUAAAAGCAAACAAACAGAGAAACAAAAUUCUCAAGGAACUACUUAAUGCAGCUGGGAACUACUUAAUAUUAUUUUUGUCAAGAUAAAUGAGCUGGGAAAUCCAUCAAUACAUGGUUAGUUAUUUAUUCCUUCAUGCAGCAGGACAUUAAAAGCAAACAAACAAAGAAACAAAGUUCUCAUGGAAUUACUUAAUAUUAUUUUUGUCAAGAUAAAUGAGCUGGGAAAUCCAUCAAUACAUGGUUAGUUAUUUAUUCCUUCAUGCAGCAAGAAUUUACAACAAGUAAACUUAAUCUGUCCACAGACUAUACUUCACUUAAGAUUUCUUGUUUGCAACUAUAUAUUCAGAGUAGGUCAAAACAUGCCCAAAUAUGGAUGCAUAUCAGUUUUGGAGUUUUCCUUUAGCAUUUUCUCCAGUACUCUCAUAGAAGAACACUUAAGGUGGUAGAUCUCAAGCAAUGCAACAUAUCAAAAUCAGAAUGAAUAUAAGGCAGGAGACAGAUGACUGAAAUGGACAGUUCCUAUAGAGUUGAUGAUUUGUAUAGGCCACAAUGUCAUGAAUAAAAGAGAGGUCACUAACCUUAUGCAUCCAACUCUACUGUUCGAUGAUCCAAAGUCCAAACAUAACGUGAUGUUGCCUUCUCAAAAACUCACCUGAUUAUGCAACUGCCCGAUGGUCCCUUUCUCUGCAUACAAGCAACUAUUUAUUCAGUUCAGAACUUUGAACACAACACUGAGGUUCCCAUGAGGCCACGGCCAAUUUUCUAGGAAUAAGUACGUCAAUAUAGCAGUGAAUAAAACUUCUUAUAGAAGUGGAUGAGUGCAGUGUGAAGAUGAACACACAAGUAAUAUACAUUCAGGGCAAACCUCAAUUUCAUGAAAACCAGUCCUGUAGCAUGAAAGACUAUUGCUACCAAUUGAGGAGAAAAUCCUUUUAAAUUAAACAAAAAGAAACUAAUUAGCUCGGUUUGAGCAUACAACAUGGAUAGAAAUGUAUGAAUAUAUUUUUUAUUAUAUUGAGGCAGUAGGAGGUAGUUACUGGAGUAAGAUUCAUAGAUGACAAGAAAAUGUACACACUGUGGACCUGGUUUGAUAGCACGAAAUACAUAAAUGAUAUCUGUUGAGUCGCAUUGCAGGCCACCAUAAACAUCAUGAUCUACACAUGGAUGCAAAUUCCAACUGGGAGACAUACCUCUGGGCGUGAUGUAGGCUGGGGUGCUGCAAAACAAUGAGAAGAGGAAUAGGAUUAAUCUGACAGAGACCAUAGUGUCGGUAGUUUAGCGCAGAGCACGAUUAGGAACCCAGAAGAAAUCCUGGCUGGGACGACUCCUCCAUGGGCUCAUCCGUGUCCAUCUGUGAGCUAUCCUCCUUGCCUAGGAACGCCUCGAAGGGCGUGAGCCCAGCGGCUGUGGCGUCGGAGCGGCAGUCGGAUAGGAAGCAGAUGAGGGAGACGUGCUCCAGCUGCAUCGGGGGCUCACCCGACGGCGAGCUCCCCACUGCUGUCGCGACCUUCGCCUUCACCGCC